AGAGUUUGAUCAUGGCUCAGAUUGAACGCUGGCGGCAGGCCUAACACAUGCAAGUCGAACGGUAACAGGAAGCAGCUUGCUGCUUUGCUGACGAGUGGCGGACGGGUGAGUAAUGUCUGGGAAACUGCCUGAUGGAGGGGGAUAACUACUGGAAACGGUGGCUAAUACCGCAUAACGUCGCAAGACCAAAGAGGGGGACCUUCGGGCCUCUUGCCAUCAGAUGUGCCCAGAUGGGAUUAGCUAGUUGGUGAGGUAACGGCUCACCAAGGCGACGAUCCCUAGCUGGUCUGAGAGGAUGACCAGCCACACUGGAACUGAGACACGGUCCAGACUCCUACGGGAGGCAGCAGUGGGGAAUAUUGCACAAUGGGCGCAAGCCUGAUGCAGCCAUGCCGCGUGUAUGAAGAAGGCCUUCGGGUUGUAAAGUACUUUCAGCGGGGAGGAAGGUGUUGUGGUUAAUAACCGCAGCAAUUGACGUUACCCGCAGAAGAAGCACCGGCUAACUCCGUGCCAGCAGCCGCGGUAAUACGGAGGGUGCAAGCGUUAAUCGGAAUUACUGGGCGUAAAGCGCACGCAGGCGGUCUGUCAAGUCGGAUGUGAAAUCCCCGGGCUCAACCUGGGAACUGCAUUCGAAACUGGCAGGCUUGAGUCUUGUAGAGGGGGGUAGAAUUCCAGGUGUAGCGGUGAAAUGCGUAGAGAUCUGGAGGAAUACCGGUGGCGAAGGCGGCCCCCUGGACAAAGACUGACGCUCAGGUGCGAAAGCGUGGGGAGCAAACAGGAUUAGAUACCCUGGUAGUCCACGCCGUAAACGAUGUCUACUUGGAGGUUGUGCCCUUGAGGCGUGGCUUCCGGAGCUAACGCGUUAAGUAGACCGCCUGGGGAGUACGGCCGCAAGGUUAAAACUCAAAUGAAUUGACGGGGGCCCGCACAAGCGGUGGAGCAUGUGGUUUAAUUCGAUGCAACGCGAAGAACCUUACCUGGUCUUGACAUCCACAGAACUUUCCAGAGAUGGAUUGGUGCCUUCGGGAACUGUGAGACAGGUGCUGCAUGGCUGUCGUCAGCUCGUGUUGUGAAAUGUUGGGUUAAGUCCCGCAACGAGCGCAACCCUUAUCCUUUGUUGCCAGCGAUUAGGUCGGGAACUCAAAGGAGACUGCCAGUGAUAAACUGGAGGAAGGUGGGGAUGACGUCAAGUCAUCAUGGCCCUUACGACCAGGGCUACACACGUGCUACAAUGGCGCAUACAAAGAGAAGCGACCUCGCGAGAGCAAGCGGACCUCAUAAAGUGCGUCGUAGUCCGGAUUGGAGUCUGCAACUCGACUCCAUGAAGUCGGAAUCGCUAGUAAUCGUGGAUCAGAAUGCCACGGUGAAUACGUUCCCGGGCCUUGUACACACCGCCCGUCACACCAUGGGAGUGGGUUGCAAAAGAAGUAGGUAGCUUAACCUUCGGGAGGGCGCUUACCACUUUGUGAUUCAUGACUGGGGUGAAGUCGUAACAAGGUAACCGUAGGGGAACCUGCGGUUGGAUCACCUCCUU
rnacentral:rRNA from 3 species